UAAGAACUGUGAAGUAUGUAUAAAUGCGCAUAAUUUUGUUGCAAGGCUAAAAGCAAGAAUGUUUUUAUGACAUUCAUGAUUCAGUUUUACUUGAAAACCACUUGCAGAACAGACUCUUUAAUCCUCAAGCCAACAAUCUGUUCAUUACGGUGGCAUAGAUUAACAAUUGACAAAUACACAAACUCAAAUGCCUGUUGAGCCGAAUCCUCCUUCACCUCUCACGGUCGCAUCCAGAUCCUCAACUUCCACAACAUCAGGGGUCAUGAUCUUCUGGAUAAUCAACUGGGCAAUUCGAUCUCCCACUUUGACCUCAAAAUCCACAUCCGAAUGAUUAAACAAUAUAACCCCAACUGGACCCCUAUAAUCAGCAUCUAUCACACCUGCUCCAACAUCAAUCGAGUGCUUCCAUGCCAAUCCCGAUCUCGGCGCAAUGCGAGCAUACGUUCCUUCAGGUAUGGCAAUGCUCAGAUCUGUUGGGAUAAGAGCUUUACCUCUACCAGGCACUUUAGCCUCAGUUGCACUGGAGAGAUCAUAGCCCGCAGAUAGAGGAGAAGCUCUGGAGGGCAAAAUAGCUUUUUCAGAGAGCUUUUUAACCCUAAAUAGAGAGAUGGGAGUUUCUGAGACUUCAUGAACGCCAUUCUGUUGAAGCUUGGGGAUCUUUGGAGCCGGCUCUCUGAUUUCAGGGCUAUUGUCUUGAACAGCUUGAGCCAUACUGAAGAGUCGAAAAACUAGAUUGCAGCAAGAUAGUGAUAUGGGAAGAGUGGAUUUUGAGGGUAAGGAACGCGUUGGAUUUGAAUGGUUAAAUAGGAGAGGAAACUGCAAAGAAUUUCAAAAUAAUGGCGCCAAGGUUCCCGCCAUCUGCUCUGUGAAUGUUGCUAACGUAAGCCUGUUGGGGAUAUCGUUUUAACCUACCCACCUUUGUUUUUAUGCAUUUAUCUCUCCCAUUAACCUAUAUAGAAUACUCUCUCCUCAGUCGCCUUUCUCUCAUAUCGUUACAAUCAAUCAAAAGCCAAAGAAGAGUUUUCUCAUCUCUCAUUUCUGGUACCGAUUCUGCCACAAACAUCUCUGUUGAGCCUUUCACUGGACCUUCAAAGAAGGGUUGGCGAGGCACCUAUCAGUAGAGAAUCAACUUUGCAAGGAAACAAUUCCGGACAUCCUAGUACUCUUUGGCAGCCCAAUUGAUUUCAGGUCAAAGAACCUCUGAGAUGGGUUGGAAUUAGCCUCAGAAGGAUAUGGAUAAUCAGUGAGAAACUAAUUUGGUUAGCCCACCAUAUCCCAAUUAUGAAUUAUAAUGGCAAGCCAGUGAAAAUCCCUUUAUUAAGAGGCAGCCAUCUGCAGUUCUGGAUAGGGAACAAGAACCCAAGAAGCUUUCUCAGCCCUCGCCAGAGAAUAUAGCUCUUUACUCUAAGGAUCCUCAGUUUGAAAUUCAAGGUCCUUUUUCUGAUAGUAAUAUUAUUGGAUGGUUUGAGGCUG
rnacentral:misc_RNA from 1 species